rnacentral:rRNA from 1 species
UACGUAGGGAGCAAGCGUUGUCCGGAAUCAUUGGGCGUAAAGCGCGCGUAGGCGGCCCGAUAAGUCCGCUGUGAAAGUCAACGGCUCAACUGUUGGAUGCCGGUGGAUACUGUCGGGCUAGAGUACGGAAGAGGCAAGUGGAAUUCCUGGUGUAGCGGUGAAAUGCGCAGAUAUCGGGAGGAACACCAGUAGCGAAGGCGGCACUCUGGGCCGGUACUGACGCUGAGGAGCGAAAGCGUGGGGAGCGAACAGG